rnacentral:lncRNA from 1 species
AAAAAAAAAAAAAAAGAGAAAAAAAGUGUUAUGGAGAGAAGAAGCUGCUGGAGGGCGUUGAAUUUGUACGCCCCGUUAUACCUACAUUAUUGGGCAAUUUAGCAAUUACUGGAAAAGCUGAAUCAUGCUUCUCCUACUCAGUGCAAUUGCAUUCCCAGGCAUAGGUCAGAGAACCCCUCAGAUAAGGGCGCAAGGAAACCAUAAGGGGAAUGUUCAUAACAGCUUUGGAAUUUGCAAAAACUGCAAGUAACCCAAAUGUUCACCCACAGAACAGUGGGAAAAAACUUGUGAUAUAUUUAUUGACUGGAGCCACAUGUUCAAACAUAGAUCUCACAGCUUAGCAUUGAGCAGGAAAUACAAGUUGUAGGAGGCUUGAUAUUUAUGUAAAGGUUAAACCUAUGCAAGGAAAUCUUGCGUACUGCUCUGGGAUACAUACUGUAGGGAAGUACUAUAUUAAUAUAAACUCAGGAUUGUGGGUGCCAUUGGAGGGGGGCUCGAGAAAAGAAUAAGCCUUUCAUUUGGCCUGGUGUGUUCAUUCACUUUUUUGGAAUGCAUCUGAAAUAUUACAUACCAAAUUAAAAUACUGUGUUUCCAAACCUAUAAAACCGAUGGCAACUUUCAAAUAAUUGGAUGUUAGAAAUGGAACUCUCAAAAGAUUUCCUCCUCCCCACGAAUGUACCCUUUGCCUAGGAUGGGAGGCUGUCACCUGGAGUAGCAACCCAAGGCCCUCGACCGCAGGGGUCCUAGCAAGCCUUGCCUUUGUGCAUCUGCUCUGGGAGCCAGAGAAGUUGAAAGCGGCCUCACUCGGGAUUUUUGAAGAGGUUGUAUUUCCCGACAGUCCUGGAUAAAAGACACGGCAGGCAGUCUGACUGUCAGGGGAGUCCCUUCUGGGUCUGUAUUUAUAUAUCCCUAGGAAUCCUCUCCUGCGGGCUCUUAAAUGGUAAGUAGUGGGUUCGUGACCUGUGGUGAGAAGAAAGAUGCCCCAGCAGGUAACGUUAUCUUUUCCUUUCAUCUGUGAAUCUCCCUGCUGCAGGCAAAGCACCCCUGAGUCCUGCAAUUACGGCCUUCCCACCCCCAAGCUGAAAAACCUGAUUUUCUUCAGGAGAAGAGAAACCUCAUCCCGGGAGCGGAAUUUGUGAAGAAAAUGUGAGUGGGAAACAUGAAGAGUGAUGAAAUGAACAAGUUGAGUGACUCCCACCCUGUUGAAGAGAUUGAACUUCAUCCCCAGUUCCUGUGAAGCUUUCUGGAUCUCGUCUUCCAAGAUGGGCUCAAGUUCCCUGGUGUGAAGAGAAGACAAAAUGCUGCCCUCCGCACCUCUUUCAGGAAAUCCUCCUGUAUUAUAUUUUGAAUGCAGCUCCCUCCACCAUCUGGGAUGGAGUCAUUGCUUUACAGCAGUCAUAGCUGCUGUCAUGAAAGAUGAAGCUGGUCUCCAGGACACUAGGAGGUUGCAAAGAGCCACAUGAGUUUAUUGGAUAUGACAGAAUUUCUCCAAGUGGGGAAGCUAAAUUAAGCAAAUGGUAAGUAUACAUUUUGUAAAAUGAUAAAACUCUCAUUAGUUGUGGUUGGUUCAGUUGUCUAUUUAGAAAAUGCAAGGGACUCAACUGAAAAUGUUAGCACCAAUACAGAGAUGUAGUAUGUUGGCUGGAGGAUUCAGGACCAACUUAGAAACAUCAGUGGCAUUUUUAUAUAUCUGUAACCAUAAAAAUAAGUAAUAGAAAAAAAACCAGUAGCAGCAAAGCCAUUCAGAUACCCAGGAAUAACCUUAGUGAGAAAGGCACAACACUCCUGAGACUUCACUGAAAAAUUUGAAAGAAGAUUAGACUAACUGGAGAAGAAAACCCUAUUGUCUUUUUUUUUUUUUU